rnacentral:rRNA from 1 species
AUUGAACGCUGGCGGCAGGCCUAACACAUGCAAGUCGAACGAGUGGCGGACGGGUGAGUAAUGUCUGGGAAACUGCCCGAUGGAGGGGGAUAACUACUGGAAACGGUAGCUAAUACCGCAUACCAUCAGAUGUGGCGAGAUGGGAUUAGCUAGUAGGUGGGGUAACGGGUCACCUAGGCGACGAUCCCUAGCUGGUCUGAGAGGAUGACCAGCCCCACUGGAACUGAGACACGGUCCAGACGCCUACGGGAGGCAGCGUGGGGGAAUAUUGCGCAAUGGGCGCAAGCCUGAUGCAGCCAUGCCGCGUGUAUGAAGAAGGCCUGCGGGUUGUAAAGUACUUUCAGCGGGGAGGCGUUACCCGCAGAAGAAGCACCGGCUAACUCCGUGCCAGCCGCCGCGGUAAUUC